GGAACCCACUGCUGGGAUGUGGAGGUUAAAGAGAGUUCAUCCUGGGGUCUGGGAGUAACUACAGCAUCAAACCAGAGGAAGGGAGAGGAUUUCUUUAACACUGAUGUCUGCAGUUUGAGUGAUUUGAUCAGUACAGAGUA